rnacentral:rRNA from 1 species
UACGUAGGUGGCAAGCGUUGUCCGGAUUUACUGGGCGUAAAGAGCGCGCAGGCGGUCGUUCAAGUCGCGUGUGAAAGCCCCCGGCUCAACUGGGGAGGGUCACGCGAUACUGAUCAACUCGAAGGCAGGAGAGGGAUGCAGAAUUCCAGGUGUAGCGGUGAAAUGCGUAGAUAUCUGGAGGAAUACCGGUGGCGAAGGCGGCAUCCUGGACCGACAUUGACGCUGAACGGCGAAAGCUAGGGGAGCAAACGGG